rnacentral:rRNA from 1 species
GAUCCUGGCUUAGGAUGAACGCUAGCGACAGGCUUAACACAUGCAAGUCGAGGGGCAGCAUAAAAGUAGCAAUACCUUGGUGGCGACCGGCGCACGGGUGAGUAACGCGUAUGCAACCUACCUAUCAGAGGGGAAUAACCCGGCGAAAGUCGGACUAAUACCGCAUAAAACAGGGGCACCGCAUGGUGAUAUUUGUUAAAGAAAUUCGCUGAUAGAUGGGCAUGCGUUCCAUUAGGUAGUUGGUGAGGUAACGGCUCACCAAGCCGACGAUGGAUAGGGGAACUGAGAGGUUGGUCCCCCACACUGGUACUGAGACACGGACCAGACUCCUACGGGAGGCAGCAGUGAGGAAUAUUGGUCAAUGGGCGGGAGCCUGAACCAGCCAAGUCGCGUGAAGGGAAAAGAAGGAUCUAUGGUUCGUAAACUUCUUUUGCAGGGGAAUAAAGUGCAGGACGUGUCCUGUUUUGUAUGUACCCUGAGAAUAAGGAUCGGCUAGCUCCGUGCCAGCAGCCGC